GCUAUAAUGCAGUCGAGCGAGCUUGCCUAGAUGAUUUUAGUGCUUGCACUAAAUGAAACUAGAUACAAGCGAGCGGCGGACGGGUGAGUAACACGUGGGUAACCUGCCCAAGAGACUGGGAUAACACCUGGAAACAGAUGCUAAUACCGGAUAACAACACCAGACGCAUGUCUAGAGUUUGAAAGAUGGUUCUGCUAUCACUCUUGGAUGAACCUGCGGUGCAUUAGCUAGUUGGUAAGGUAAUGGCUUACCAAGGCGAUGAUGCAUAGCCGAGUUGAGAGACUGAUCGGCCACAUUGGGACUGAGACACGGCCCAAACUCCUACGGGAGGCAGCAGUAGGGAAUCUUCCACAAUGGACGAAAGUCUGAUGGAGCAACGCCGCGUGAGUGAAGAAGGGUUUCGGCUCGUAAAGCUCUGUUGGUAGUGAAGAAAGAUAGAGGUAGUAACUGGCCUUUAUUUGACGGUAAUUACUUAGAAAGUCACGGCUAACUACGUGC
rnacentral:rRNA from 1 species